UGGAUCCUUCGCGGAAAGGGCCGUAAACGGAACGACCUUCUCACUGUCCUGUUGAAGCAGUUUUGGCCUGGCCUAUUCUGCCCGCGGCCAGACAAGGACCCACAGCUGCGUGUUUUGUCCACAAGUUGGGCCCACUAUGAGGCUUGCAGCAACGCUGAGUACGGGACGACCGCUAAGGCCGUGAUCACCAAAUUUUGGCAACUCUAUAGAGUUCUUGAUGAGCACAAGGCCAGAGCCGACGUGGUCUUACUUGCGUCUGCAAAGAAGAAAGCUCGUCAGUUGCAGUACGAGGUGCGUUGGGUUACCGUCUCAUAG
rnacentral:rRNA from 1 species